rnacentral:rRNA from 1 species
GACGAACGCUGGCGGCGUGCUUAACACAUGCAAGUCGAACGGAAAGGCCUGCAGCUUGCUGCGGGUACUCGAGUGGCGAACGGGUGAGUAACACGUGGGUGAUCUGCCUUGCACUUCGGGAUAAGCUUGGGAAACUGGGUCUAAUACCGGAUAGGACAGCUGUUUAGUGUCAGUUGUGGAAAGUUUUUUCGGUGCAAGAUGAGCUCGCGGCCUAUCAGCUUGUUGGUGGGGUAAUGGCCUACCAAGGCGUCGACGGGUAGCCGGCCUGAGAGGGUGUACGGCCACAUUGGGACUGAGAUACGGCCCAGACUCCUACGGGAGGCAGCAGUGGGGAAUAUUGCACAAUGGGCGGAAGCCUGAUGCAGCGACGCCGCGUGGGGGAUGACGGCCUUCGGGUUGUAAACUCCUUUCGACAGGGACGAAGCUUUUGUGACGGUACCUGUAUAAGAAGCACCGGCUAACUACGUGCCAGCAGCCGCGGUAAUACGUAGGGUGCGAGCGUUGUCCGGAAUUACUGGGCGUAAAGAGCUCGUAGGUGGUUUGUCGCGUCGUCUGUGAAAUUCCGGGGCUUAACUCCGGGCGUGCAGGCGAUACGGGCUGACUUGAGUGCUGUAGGGGAGACUGGAAUUCCUGGUGUAGCGGUGAAAUGCGCAGAUAUCAGGAGGAACACCGAUGGCGAAGGCAGGUCUCUGGGCAGUAACUGACGCUGAGGAGCGAAAGCAUGGGUAGCGAACAGG